GGAUGAGCCCGCGGCCUAUCAGCUAGUUGGUGAGGUAAUGGCUCACCAAGGCGUCGACGGGUAGCCGGCCUGAGAGGGUGACCGGCCACACUGGGACUGAGACACGGCCCAGACUCCUACGGGAGGCAGCAGUGGGGAAUAUUGCACAAUGGGCGCAAGCCUGAUGCAGCAACGCCGCGUGAGGGACGACGGCCUUCGGGUUGUAAACCUCUUUUAGCAGGGAAAAAGCGAAAGUGACGGUACCUGCAGAAAAAGCACCGGCUAACUACGUGACAGCAGCCGCGGCCG
rnacentral:rRNA from 1 species